rnacentral:rRNA from 1 species
CCCUUAGAUGUUCUGGGCCGCACGCGCGCUACACUGAUGUAUUCAACGAGUUUUGCCUUGACCGAGAGGUCCGGGUAAUCUUCGAAAGUGCAUCGUGAUGGGGCUAGAUUAUUGCAAUUAUUAAUCUUCAACGAGGAAUGCCUAGUAAGCGUGAUUCAUCAAAUCGCGUUGAUUACGUCCCUGCCCUUUGUACACACCGCCCGUCGCUCCUACCGAUUGAAUGUGUUGGUGAGGAGUUCGGAUUGGCGACUGGUGGUGGUUCUCCGCUGCCUAUUGCUGAGAAGUUCUCCAAACCGCCCCAUUUAGAGGAAGGAGAAGUCGUAACA